rnacentral:rRNA from 1 species
AUUGAACGCUGACGGCAUGCUUUACACAUGCAAGUCGAACGGUAACAGGCCGCAAGGUGCUGACGAGUGGCGAACGGGUGAGUAAUGCAUCGGAACGUGCCCAGUCGUGGGGGAUAACGCAGCGAAAGCUGCGCUAAUACCGCAUACGAUCUAUGGAUGAAAGCGGGGGACCGUAAGGCCUCGCGCGAUUGGAGCGGCCGACGUCAGAUUAGGUAGUUGGUGGGGUAAAGGCUCACCAAGCCAACGAUCUGUAGCUGGUCUGAGAGGACGACCAGCCACACUGGGACUGAGACACGGCCCAGACUCCUACGGGAGGCAGCAGUGGGGAAUUUUGGACAAUGGGCGCAAGCCUGAUCCAGCAAUGCCGCGUGCAGGAAGAAGGCCUUCGGGUUGUAAACUGCUUUUGUACGGAACGAAACGGUCCUGGUUAAUACCUGGGGCUAAUGACGGUACCGUAAGAAUAAGCACCGGCUAACAACGUGCCAGCCGCCGCCGUAAAAC